rnacentral:tRNA from 1 species
GGGAGAAUAGUGUAGUGGCUAUCACGCUUCAUUUGCAUUGAAGAGGUCCCGGGUUCAAUCCCCGGUUCUUCCA